UACAGAGGUCUCAAGCGUUGUUCGGAUUCAUUGGGCGUAAAGGGUGUGUAGGUGGCGCCGUUAGUCGGGUGUGAAAUUUCGGAGCUUAACUCCGAAACUGCAUUCGAUACUGCCGUGCUUGAGGACUGGAGAGGAGACUGGAAUUUACGGUGUAGCAGUGAAAUGCGUAGAUAUCGUAAGGAAGACCAGUGGCGAAGGCGGGUCUCUGGACAGUUCCUGACACUGAGGCACGAAGGCCAGGGGAGCAAACGGG
rnacentral:rRNA from 1 species